rnacentral:lncRNA from 1 species
ACCAGCUCCUUCACAUUCUUUUAGAUGAUUCUAAUUAUGAGGAAAAAUUUUCUUUUUAUUGAAUUAGAAACUACUUCCCUAGGGUACUUAGAAAACAAGCUUACCUCUCUUCCAAGAAGCAGCCUGUGGCAAUUUAAAAAUAUGUCCAUAAAUUCCUUAAUACUCCUCCUUUCAGGAGGUAGAGCCUAAUUUCCCUCCCUUUGAGGGUGAGCUCAGCUCAGUGACUCGCUUGUAAUGACUAGAAUAAUACAGAAGUUAUGAUGUGUGACUUCAGAGACCGAGUCAUGAAAGGCACUGUGACUUCUGCCUUGCUCUCUAAGAUAGCUCACUCUGGGAAUGUUAGCUGCCAUGUCAUAAGGAUACUCAUGCAACUCUGUGUAGAGACCCAUGUAACAGGAACUGAAGCCUCUUGCCAUGUGAUGAGCCAUCUUACAAGUGAAUCCUCCAGCCUCAGUCAAGCCUCAAGAUGCCUGCAGCCACACAAAGAUCCUGAGCUAGAGCCACCCAGUCAAGGCACUGAUACCAGUGGAUCAUCUGGCACAGUUCUGACCAAUGAGAUAAGAGAAGAAAGUUGAUGGGUAGAGCCUCAAUAGAGCCUCAAGGAAAGCCCCUCAGAAGGGGGAGGGAAGCUGGAGACAGCUGGUACAUGCAAUUAUGCCCUUGUCCUUUAUCUUCCUUCUGCCUGGAACAUGGACACUUAGGCUGGUGAUAGAGGAGCCAUCUUGGGACCAUGAAGUGACAAUGAUGGAAAGGCCAAGAGACUCUCAGAGACCUCAGUCCUGACAUCCUUGAGCAGUUAAACCAAUACCUAACCUGGGACUUCUCAUACAAUGAGAAAAAUAAGCUUCUAAAUUUAUUAAGCUUCUUUUUUGAGAUUUCAAUUACUAAUAGCUAAAUGUGCUUCAUUUGUCCUAGAAUUCGGACCAGGAUCAACCCAACUGCUCUUUAAUUUGGAACACUCUGUCUUCCUCUAUGAUAGAGAAAUCAAGAUGCCAUUUGACUAUUUUCUGAUUUCAGCACCACUAAAUUCCCUCACAGUUUCAUUGUCUACAUGCCAAUAAUCUUGUUGGCAACUUAUCUUCAUGACCAGGUAGGUAAUUUAUUUAGUCCAGGAGAUGUGGCCUCUGCCAGAAGGUUGGAACUUUGACCUACUCAGUUCUCCCCUAUUUCUUGUCUAUAGUUGUCAAGAAUAAUGGUAGAAAGUGCUGGGAAUGCCACUUCCUGAGAUGGGGA